GUGGUGUUUGGUUUGAUACGGGUGGUCGGCUCCCUGCUUGAGCAGGCACGGCCUCGCGUACAUUCCUUUUCAGUUGUGCGACAAGGCUUGUAUCGCCUUGAUCGUAUAUGUGGGUUUCCUGUGUUGCAUACCUGAUCAAAGGAAUCGUCUAGAUCAAAAAAGUCCCUUUUUCGUCAAGUGUUGCCCUUGUGACGUCGGACGAACCAAGUAGCAUCCUUUUUGAUCCAUCCCGUUGAUGAGCAUUCGUCGAUGGUUUGGCCCAUUGAGGGUUGCCUGGUCUCUCGAAUAUGGAAGCAAAAGUUGGCUUGGGGUCGUAUGAUCCUUUUUUUGGCCCUCAUUGAGCGUUCUCGCUUCUCUAAAACGACUGCCUUUCACGUAUGGCACGUCCCAGCGUGUUUGGCUAACGUCGAAGAGGAAUGC
rnacentral:misc_RNA from 1 species